rnacentral:rRNA from 1 species
AUUGAACGCUGGCGGCAUGCCUUACACAUGCAAGUCGAACGGCAGCGGGGGAGAAGCUUGCUUUUCCUGCCGGCGAGUGGCGAACGGGUGAGUAAUACAUCGGAACGUGCCCUGUAGUGGGGGAUAACUAGUCGAAAGAUUAGCUAAUACCGCAUACGACCUGAGGGUGAAAGUGGGGGACCGCAAGGCCUCAUGCUAACGGAGCGGCCGAUGUCUGAUUAGCUAGUUGGUGGGGUAAAGGCCUACCAAGGCGACGAUCAGUAGCUGGUCUGAGAGGACGAUCAGCCACACUGGGACUGAGACACGGCCCAGACUCCGACGGGGGGCAGCAGUGGGGAAUUUUGGACAAUGGGCGAAAGCCUGAUCCAGCAAUGCCGCGUGUGUGAAGAAGGCCUUCGGGUUGUAAAGCACUUUUGUCCGGAAAGAAAUGGCUCUGGUUAAUACCUGGGGUCGAUGACGGUACCGGAAGAAUAAGGACCGGCUAACUACGUGCCAGCCGCCGCAGUAAUAC